rnacentral:misc_RNA from 1 species
AAGGGAAGCUGAAGAAAUCAAAAACAGAGUUGAUGGCCUAUAACCAUAAAGGCCUUGACGACUGUAGAAGACUUGCAAUUGGGCACUCUAAACAGUUGUUUGAGAUAUACCAGAAGCAAGAAGAUUCUCUAUUCUUGAAUUGACAAAUAAUUUUCUUGUCAGAAAUUGGUCCUGAUUCUAAUUGUAGAUCCAAGCACCUAAUGCGUUUUAUUUUUUUUUUACCAUGCACAAGUAGAAUCCUAACGUGAUAGUUUUGAUCCUCACCUGAUAGUU